rnacentral:lncRNA from 1 species
CCAAACUUAAAUUGUUGCAUGUCCUCAAACAACAAACACAAAACAAUAAUAACAAUAUGGAAACGACAACUCAUGCAAAUGCAACUAACUAAAUGAACGUAAUUCCAGCAAUCCAAUAGCUCACGUAUAUCCAUAGGCCUCAAAAAAAUCACAAAAACAUGCUAAUACAUCAUGUGAAAGCAGAUCAAUAAUAUCUCCAACAACUAAUAAAUCUGAAUCUGUUAUUACUGACAUUGUGAGUGUGUGUUUAACAACCAUGCUAACCCAUGAAAGGAAAAAAUAUGAAAGAUAAUAAAUUUCUUAGUAAGAUUCAUACAGUGUAAACUUGAGAACUCAUCAAAUAUACUUGUUUCAACUGAAAUCAAACAAUCACCCUAAUUCAAGAGUCAAAAUGAAAUACUUAGGCUUUUCUUUUUUUCUCUUUUUUUUCUCAUAACGGGGGCUUUUGCACUUUUCCCGCUGUAUUUGUAUUUAUUUUUUUUAUUUUUUUUUAAAUAUACAUAAAUGAUUGUGCAAUGUCUCAUCCCAUUAGGCUAACAGUGUUACCCCUUAGCGAGCUUUCGACCAACGACUCCCAUACCAUAAAAGACCUUAGGGCGCUAGGUGUAAAGAUAAUCCCCUCGGGCGUACUUACUCAAGUAACAAAGGCCCCGAAACAAGACUAGUCACCAUGUAUACCCCUUUUUUUUUAGCCUAUAUAUUCCAAAUAUUUUCCCCCCAAACUCGAGUUUAUGUAUAAAUUCAGUCUUCACUAGCUAUUCAAAUUGUCCCUUCAUUUCACUAGCAAUCAUCCUUUAGAACUCUAUUAUCUAACCAUUUAAACUAUCAUAGCCAACAUGGUCGUUUUCAAAGUGCUUUCCUAUAAUAUCAGUGUCAAACAGAUAAAGAUUAAAUUUAUGUCAAGAAAAUCAUAUUACUGACUCAACAAUCCUUACUAGACUUGUUCAUGCAAUUUUAAAUUCAUCAUGGGCCCUCGAAUAAACGCACUAACAAACGCUGGAAUUAUCAUGCAAUCCUAAAUGCAAUGUUUAACUAACAAUAACAAUCCAAAUCCACAAACUAAUAACAAACUACAACUUCAAAAAUAAAACUUAACUACCCCCAAACUAAUCUAGAGCAAUGUCCUCAUGCGAAAAAUAUAGCAAAAUAAAAC